rnacentral:ncRNA from 1 species
CAAAAGUUUGGUCCUGACUUCAACAUCAACCCUGGCUUUACUUACACAUGCAAGUCUCCGCACCCCUGUGAGAAUGCCCUUCCAUUCCUGUAGGAAAAAAGGAGCUGACAUCAGGCACACUCUUGUAGCCCAAGACGUCUUGCUAAGCCACACCCCCAAGGGACUUCAGCAGUGAUAAAUAUUAAGCAAUAAGUGUAAACUUGACUUAGUUCCAGCCAAGAGAGUCGGUUAAACUCGUGCCAGCCACCGCGGUUAUACGGGAGACUCAAGUUGAUACAACUCGGCGUAAAGCGUGGUAAAUAGCACACCGUACUAAAAUUAAACCCCCUCAAGGCUGUAAUACGCACCCGAGGGUGGGAGACCCAACUACGAAAGUGAUUUUAUAUCGUUGACACCACUAAAGCUGUGAAACAAACUGGGAUUAGAGACCCCACUAUGCACAGCCACAAGCUAUGAUAGCCCUUAUGCUCGCUAUCCGCCUGGGAACUACGAGCUAUAGCUUAAAACCCAAAGGACUUGGCGGUGCUUAAGAUCCACCUAGAGGAGCCUGUUCUAGAACCGAUAACCCCCGUUAAACCCCACCUCUCUUUGCCAUUACCGCCUAUAUACCGCCGUCGUCAGCAUACCCUUUAAAGGGCCCAUAGUAAGCAAAAUCGGUACAACCCAAAACGUCAGGUCGAGGUGUAGCAUAUGGAGAGGAAGAAAUGGGCUACAUUCUCUACCUUAGAGCAAACGAAAAGUGGAGUGAAAUACCCACUAGAAGGAGGAUUUAGUAGUAAGAGAUGAAUAGAGAGCAUCCCUGAAAACGGCUCUAAAGCGCGCACACACCGCCCGU